rnacentral:rRNA from 1 species
UGACCGCUGGCGGCGUGCCUCAUACAUGCAAGUCGAGCGAACAGAUACGGAGCUUGCUCCUUUGACGUUAGCGGCGGACGGGUGAGUAACACGUGGGUAACCUACCUAUAAGACUGGGAUAACUUCGGGAAACCGGAGCUAAUACCGGAUAACAUUUGGAACCGCAUGGUUCUAAAGUGAAAGAUGGUUUUGCUAUCACUUAUAGAUGGACCCGCGCCGUAUUAGCUAGUUGGUAAGGUAACGGCUUACCAAGGCGACGAUACGUAGCCGACCUGAGAGGGUGAUCGGCCACACUGGAACUGAGACACGGUCCAGACUCCUACGGGAGGCAGCAGUAGGGAAUCUUCCGCAAUGGGCGAAAGCCUGACGGAGCAACGCCGCGUGAGUGAUGAAGGGUUUCGGCUCGUAAAACUCUGUUAUUAGGGAAGAACAAAUGUGUAAGUAACUGUGCACGUCUUGACGGUACCUAAUCAGAAAGCCACGGCUAACUACGUG